CUGGUGUGGAUUUUGAUCUCUUCGAGUAUUCUGGUAUGUUUUAACGUGUUGCAAUCCCCCCCCCCUUUUUUUUGCAAACGGCGCUGCAAGCGGCGUAUAAAUCGCGCAAAAAACAAACGAAUGCAAAAUAGAGAGUCGCGCCUCCCUCCUCUUCCUUCUCUGAGGGGCGAGGAGGAGCUCGCGUGUGGGGCCUCCUCCCGGCCAGGAAGAUGUGCAGAGACACGCCGCUCGGAGACGAACUGCAACCGGCAAGGGCGGGAGGAGGAGAAAAAGAGGUGGGGGGGGGUAAGAGAGAGAGCGCGCGCGAGAGAGAAUGGCUCACUGCAGGCAGGCGGGAUCUGGCUCCGCUGGAAAGGUGCCCUGAACAAAAACCCAGCGCGAGCGGGCAGGUGAUGACAACAUCGCCGCGCUAUUUAUGGCGCGUUGUGACAAUCGCGGCCUUAUAUGGGCAAGGCGAGGGAGACCGGCGGGACGCGCGCUCUCGCCCUUGCUCUGGGAAGAGGGAGGCGCCUCGAGGGAGGGAGGCGCGCGCGCUCCCGAGCCCCGCGCCUGUCCGCUUGAGAGAAAACCCACUGACCUCGUUUCCUUGGGAAAAUCCCUCUCAAAUCCAGCUGCGACGAGAGGCGCCCACCUGACUCACACACUGUGAGUGUGCCGGAUUUACGUAUAAGCUAAACAAGCUAUAGCUUCGGGCACCACUCUCUUGGGGCUCCCCCCCCGAAAAUUAAAGGGGGGGAACCUGGAUGUACAUUUCCAAAAUAUAAGAUAAAAAAACAAAUAAAAUAAAACCUACAUA
rnacentral:lncRNA from 1 species